UGAGUUAAAGCCCGCUGGAUGGGGUGUCUAGUUGUUAAUUACAAUUUUGCGGGAUCGARGCCCGUUAGCUUAG
rnacentral:tRNA from 1 species